rnacentral:lncRNA from 1 species
CAUUGGGCUUAUAAGAGACUCAGACACUAGUAAUAAUAACUGGGCUUAAGCAUUUUGGGCUGUUGGCUGGGCCCAACAAGUUAUUGUUGCUAGUGGGCUGGGUCGUUACAUUUGGUAUCAGAGCCGGUUCACCAGCUGGACAUGUGUGGCGAGUCUCGGCUAAGCCAGGGUCUGGAUGACAGGCUAGCGAGAUGAGUCUCACAUCGCCUGGUGAUCUUGGGCUGUGUGUGUGAUUGGACUGACGAGGACGUCAGGGUCUUAACGGGGGGAGUCUGUGACACCCCAAUAGUUCCACAUCGGAUGUUAAAGGGGUUGUCAUUGGGUUUAUAAGAGACUUAGACACUAGUAAUAAUAACUGGGCUUAAGCAUUUUAGGCUGUUGGCUGGGCCCAACAAGUUAUUGUUGCUAGUGGGCUGGGUCGUUACAUGAACUCAAAUCUGAUUGGACUCUGAUACAUACAAUUAGAGUCUAAUCGAUUCAAACUCAACUAAAUCCUAAUACAUGCAACUAGGAUUUAGUUAAAUCUAAUUGGAUUAACCCCUAAAAAUGUAGGUGUAAUCCAAAUUAAGUUCAAUCGGCCGUCAUUCAUGUACACUGGGGGUAUGUCCCUGGUUAAGCUAUGUAAUUGUAUAGUGAAUUAUGUUAUAAAAUUCAUCUUUUAUUUAAUUUCAGUCUAUUUCGGCAUUACAGAGGUCUCUUAAUCGAAGGUGCCCUAACAUUUUAUGGGGGUAAUUAACAGUAGAUGCUUGCAUCUAUUGGGAGCCAUGAAUCCAUAAUACUUGAUACCUAUAUAUAUACUUAAAUACUAAUCUGAAUCAUGAAUACUACCCCACGAAAAAUUAAAAAUAAGAUUAACCGUGCGAGGUGCGUCAUUCAUGGUCGCAAACAAAAUGGC